rnacentral:rRNA from 1 species
GUGCCAGCAGCCGCGGUAAUACGUAGGUGGCAAGCGUUGUCCGGAUUUAUUGGGCGUAAAGCGAGCGCAGGCGGUUUCUUAAGUCUGAUGUGAAAGCCUUCGGCUCAACCGAAGAAGUGCAUCGGAAACUGGGAAACUUGAGUGCAGAAGAGGACAGUGGAACUCCAUGUGUAGCGGUGAAAUGCGUAGAUAUAUGGAAGAACACCAGUGGCGAAGGCGGCUGUCUGGUCUGUAACUGACGCUGAGGCUCGAAAGCAUGGGUAGCAAACAGGAUUAGAUACCCUGGUAGUCCAUGCCGUAAACGAUGAGUGCUAGGUGUUGGAGGGUUUCCGCCCUUCAGUGCCGCAGCUAACGCAUUAAGCACUCCGCCUGGGGAGUGCGACCGCAAGGUUGAAACUCAAAGGAAUUGACGGGGGCCCGCACAAGCGGUGGAGCAUGUGGUUUAAUUCGAAGCAACGCGAAGAACCUUACCAGGUCUUGACAUCCUUUGACCACUCUAGAGAUAGAGCUUUCCCUUCGGGGACAAAGUGACAGGUGGUGCAUGGUUGUCGUCAGCUCGUGUCGUGAGAUGUUGGGUUAAGUCCCGCAACGAGCGCAACCCUUAUUACUAGUUGCCAGCAUUUAGUUGGGCACUCUAGUGAGACUGCCGGUGACAGACCGGAGGAAGGUGGGGACGACGUCAAAUCAUCAUGCCCCUUAUGACCUGGGCUACACACGUGCUACAAUGGAUGGUACAACGAGUUGCGAGACCGCGAGGUUUAGCUAAUCUCUUAAAACCAUUCUCAGUUCGGAUUGUAGGCUGCAACUCGCCUACAUGAAGCCGGAAUCGCUAGUAAUCGCGGAUCAGCAUGCCGCGGUGAAUACGUUCCCGGGCCUUGUACACACCGCCCGU